UCUUUACGGGCGAAUGGCUCCGGAAGGCCUCUGAUUCCGAGAAGAUGAUGGAAUCCUACCAUCAGGACGGCUGUCUUUUGAUCUGGUACCAGCUGGAUCUGAGCAGCGCCGAGCCAUUGCAAGAAGAGCACGUCAGGAGGGCUGUUGCUCACCUGUACAGGAAGGUUCCGAGUCUAAACGUAUGUUAUGGUGCUUCUGGCGACGAUUUGUGGUUCAGAAGGGCAACAAACCCAGAGAUUGAUUUUAAAGUUCAUCGGGGUUCGCAGUUAGAGGAAGUGAGAGAGUCCCUGCGCAAUCAUUCUUAACAGAGUGAAACUGCCGCUUUUCUGUGCUCGGUUAGUUUAUGAUUCCCCAGACAUGCCAGUGACACCAAAGAUCUGGAGCCUUCAUUUCCCUUCAAGAGCCACAUAAUCUUUGGCCUGCAUCACAGAAAUGACGGACGGGACGAGUAACAUGAAUAUUAUGGGGUUCUUCAUUUCCUUGCUGAAUGAUGUCAUUUCUGAGAAACCAUCAACGACCAGGAAUCGUUGGGCCAUUUUGCAUCAGACGAAGAAACUAUGAACCUGAUUAUGGAAGGAAAAGCAGCGCUAGAAGAAAAACCCCAAGGUGAAAAAAAAAGAUCGAAGAUGAUAUUCUUUUCCAGGAUAGCCACACGCCAUUCUUGGUGAAAUGUUUCACUCCGACUGGCAAAAAGGAGCGCACGUCCCUCCAUAGUGAGGGUCCUUGAUGAAGAUGUCACCUCCAAAUUUAUCCAGAGGUGCAAGCAGGAAAAAGUAACAGUUGGGUCAGUGUUCACAGCAGUUGUCAACAUGGCCAUUGUUGAUGUCUUGGUUGAAUAUGGUGUCACUGAAGAUUCGUAUUUAAUCGGGAACUUCCAUACAGUAAAUUUCCGUCGGUUUUGGAAACCAAAGCCUUCGGUGCCCCUAGGGUUUACAUAUGGGCUACUCGAUCAGGCUGUUUUCGGACACCCCUAGGAAUAUUCAUCAAAAAUUUUGUGAGUAUGCUAAAACCAUUGGAGAAAG